AUUGAACGCUGGCGGCAGGCCUAACACAUGCAAGUCGAGCGCGCGGCGGACGGGUGAGUAAUGUCUGGGAAACUGCCUGAUGGAGGGGGGUAACUACUGGAAACGGUGGCUCAUACCGCAUACCCUCAGAUAUGCCCACAUGGGAUGAGCUAGUAGGUGGGGUAACGGCUCACCUAGGCGACGAUCCCUAGCUGGUCUGAGAGGAUGACCAGCCACACUGGAACUGAGACACGGUCCAGACGCCGACGGGAGGCAGCAGUGGGGAAUAUUGCACAAUGGGCGCAAGCCUGAUGCAGCCAUGCCGCGUGUGUGAAGAAGGCCUUCGGGUUGUAAAGCACUUUCAGCGGGGAGGCGUUACCCGCAGAAGAAGCACCGGCUAACUCCGUGCCAGCAGCCGCGGUAAUUC
rnacentral:rRNA from 1 species